rnacentral:lncRNA from 1 species
AAGAAAAGGCAGCUCAUCAGCAGCUCGCUUAUCAACUCCACAGGCACAUCCUUGCACACAGACUCUUCUGUAUCAAUGAACCCAGAUGAGGUGUUUGGGAAGAAGCCAGUCCUUAAACCAGAGUAGACACCUGUAGUGGUGAAACAGAACCUAUUGGAUCAAAUGUACUCUGCAAUUAAGCACCAUGCAAAUAAGAAAAAAAGGUCAAAACCAACUUCUGACGAGUUCAGUGGACAAGCAGACAGAUACUUUAAAACAAGGUCUUUCUGUUAACACACCCUGGUUUUAGAGGGUCUGUUCUAGGAGGAAUGUGCAAACCCAGGGGAUCACUAAAAAUCCAUCUUCAAAGGUUCUCAGGGUCUCCAGACACAUGUAAUCACCAGGCAUGC